UUAAGUUGUAAAGGUUUGUUGAGCACACGUAAGCUUGACAAGUUAGUAGAAAAUCUCGAGAGAGUCUCUGGGGGACUGGACUAGCCACGUGUUGUGGUGAACCAGAAUACGUCGGUGCGUUCUUUCCUUUUUGUUUAUUUAACGCACUUAAUUAUUUCCUGCAAAUUUUAAUUUCCGCAAGUUUACGCUAAAUUUUAUUAUAACGCUAUUCACCCCCCUCUAGCGUUAAGCGUAUUAUCUAACACUAAGUACCUCCGGGGCUGAUAGGAAUAGGACGG
rnacentral:lncRNA from 1 species